GGACGAAAGGAAAAUGCGGACGAGGGACGAAAGGAAAACGUGCAAGUCGAGAACGACACAAAAAAAGAAGGGGGCCCGCUGAAAAGGCCGGCCGAAGGUCCCCAGGGUCGAAAGACCACGCGGGAAUGUUCGGCUAGCCCAGGCCGCCCCCGAAAGGAAAACGUGCAAGUCGGGAACGACACAAAAAAAGAAGGGGGCUCGCUGAAAAUGUCGGCCGAAGGUCCCCAGGGUCGAAAGACCACGCGGGAACAUUCGGCUAGCCCAGGCCGCUCCCGGAAGGAAAACGUGCAAUAAGUAAGAACGCGAAAGUGAUACAUUGCAACGAAAAACGGACGGACGACGGGCGACGGACGACGGGCGACGGGCGACGGACGACGGACGGACGACGGGCGACGGACGGACGAAAGGAAAACGCGGACGACGGACGGACGGACAACGGACGAAAGGAAAAUGCGGACGAGGGACGAAAGGAAAACGGACGAAAGGAAAACGCGGACGACGGACGGACGGACAACGGACGAAAGGAAAAUGCGGACGAGGGACGAAAGGAAAACGUGCAAGUCGAGAACGACACAAAAAAAGAAGGGGGCCCGCUGAAAAGGCCGGCCGAAGGUCCCCAGGGUCGAAAGACCACGCGGGAACAUUCGGCUAGCCCAGGCCGCUCCCGAAAGGAAAACGUGCAAUAAGUAAGAACGCGAAAGCGAUACAUUGCAACGAAAAAUGAGUUUAAGCAUCGAAAAAAAGACGUGAGCGGGCACGGGAGGAAACGCGGCGUGAGCGGGCGAACGAAGAAACACCCAGAAGGGAGGCGCCAAGCAGGGUACGCAGUAGCCUCGGCGGCCGAACGAAGAAGGGCAGAAGGGCCGAAGACGCCCACGGAC
rnacentral:lncRNA from 1 species